rnacentral:rRNA from 1 species
GACGAACGCUGGCGGCGUGCUUAACACAUGCAAGUCGAACGGUGAACCUCUUCGGAGGGGCUCAGUGGCGAACGGGUGAGUAACACGUGGGCAACCUGCCCCCGGCUCUGGGGUAACUCCAAGAAAUUGGGGCUAAUACCGGAUGUUCACCGCUUCCCGCAUGGGUGGUGGUGCAAAGGGUUUCCGGCUGGGGAUGGGCCCGCGGCCUAUCAGCCUGUUGGUGGUGUAGUGGCCUACCAAGGCGACGACGGGUAGCCGGCCUGAGAGGGUGAACGGGCACACGGGGACUGAGGGACGGCGCAGACGCCUACGGGAGGCAGCAGUGGGGAACAUUGCGCAAUGGGCGGAAGCCUGACGCGACGACGCCGCGUGCGGGAUGACGUCCUUCGGGUUGUAAACCUCUUUCAGCAGAGACGAAGCGGAAGUGACGGUACCUGCAGAAGAAGCACCGGCCAACUACGUG